rnacentral:miRNA from 1 species
GUAUUAGGUUGGUGCAAAAGUAAUUGUGGUUUUGGCUGUUACUUUUAAUGGCAAAAACCACAGUUAUUUUUGCACCAACCUAAUACA